rnacentral:lncRNA from 1 species
UGGUUUUUGCUACCCGACCCGUGAUUUGGGAUCUGGGUCCGGAUCUUAGUCCAGAAAAAUGGGCCGGCUAACGCCAUUUUUCCUUUAGUCUUGGUAAAGAUCAUGCUUUGAUUUAUCAGAUUUUGCCUUUGGAAACAUUUAAAUCCCUAUCUAAAUCACUUAGGUAUUUAUACCUUUUCUCUUUCUGGUCAUAUAAUUUGUAACGUUGAUAACUUAUAUGGAUGUAUCCUAAAGAUUCAAAUUAGUAGAUAUAGAUUAAAACAGGCAAAAUUAGAAUUUAACUUGAACUGCUUCAUACCAUCAUCCAAUAUUUUUGGGCGCAGAGAAAUCUUAUGGGUGAUAGAAAAUUGCUUGAUCAUUCAUGUUAACUUUCACUAGAUGAUACACCAUAAUGCAAAAAACGAACUAUAUUUUCAAUACAUCACUUGGCUACUAUCGUAUUACAGCAGGGAAAGAGUUAAAAAGGUGAAUUUAAUAAGUCGCUUUUGUUGGCAGCAGAAGAACGGAUACAUCAAAUUUUCUGAUCUCGCAAGAACUUGUCCAUCGGAAGCUGCAGAGAAUCUUCAUCCCUUUUCCCAGGUCUCACCGCAAUAAGUUAACGUUUGAUUGAAGCCCCAAGUUAUUUCGGCUUUCAUCGAUCCAUCAGCUUAAGAAGAACGGCCUGAGAAGCACACCAAUCUGCUGGUCAAUUUGAGGGAACGCAUGAAGGUAAUUUCUAAAAGACAGAAAGAGAAAUCUUGCCAAAAAUGGCCAUUAAUAAUAAUGUAGAUAUCUGAACAGACUGAAAAUGAUUUCUAUAAAAUCCGAUUGUUGAUUGCUGGUCCACCCGGAAAUCAGCCUUAUUUAUAACAGAAAAAAUGAACCGCAAGAUCUUACACGGUUGUGCAGAUGAAAGCAUGCAAUUUUUUGUGACCGACUUACAGGACAGGACCGAUAAGAUUUCAUUCCCUGAUGUAGUUCAGCAUGCGAGAUUAGAAGCUUCACAGGACGGAAUUCAAGAGAUUGACCAUAGCCUCUGUUGUCGGCAAAGCAAAUAAGCUCACGCUGUAGAAGGUUUUCAAAUGCCUGCAGAAGUAAGAGCAAAAUACUAAGCGUGUUGCAAGAGAAAUUGGGUGGAACACUAACCUUGAGGGUCAGUGGUAACUUGCUAGUCUAAUUUCAUAUGUAGAGUCUAUAGAGCUAGCCAUACCCG